AGUUGUUGGAUUUGACCAAGAUAAAGAUGUUGCUGUGUUGCAUAUUGAUGCACCAAAAGACAAGUUGCGACCUAUACCAAUUGGCGUAUCGGCAGACUUGCUCGUUGGUCAAAAAGUAUUUGCUAUUGGAAAUCCAUUUGGACUUGAUCAUACACUCACCACUGGUGUAAUCAGUGGGCUUAGGAGAGAAAUCAAUUCUGCGGCUACUGGCCGCCCAAUCCAAGAUGUUAUUCAGACAGAUGCAGCAAUCAAUCCUGGUAACAGUGGAGGGCCACUUCUAGAUAGUUCUGGAAAUCUUAUUGGAAUAAAUACUGCUAUAUAUUCUCCUUCUGGUGCAUCAUCAGGUGUUGGAUUUUCAAUUCCAGUUGAUACUGUCAGUGGCAUUGUUGAUCAGUUAGUGCAGUUUGGGAAAGUCACAAGGCCAAUUUUGGGCAUAAAGUUUGCACCUGAUCAGUCCGUUGAGCAACUGGGAGUCACUGGAGUACUUGUCCUGGAUGCUCCUCCAAAUGGUCCUGCAGGCAAAGCAGGUCUUCUACCUACUAAACGUGAUUCCUACGGAAGACUUAUUUUAGGUGAUAUAAUCACAUCUAUAAAUGGAAAGAAGGUCUCUAAUGGCACCGACUUGUACAGA
rnacentral:misc_RNA from 1 species